rnacentral:rRNA from 1 species
CACGUAGGGCGCAAGCGUUGUCCGGAAUUAUUGGGCGUAAAGAGCUCGUAGGCGGUCUGUUGCGUCCGCUGUGAAAACUCGGGGCUUAACCCCGAGCCUGCAGUGGAUACGGGCAGACUAGAGGUAGGUAGGGGAGAAUGGAAUUCCCGGUGUAGCGGUGAAAUGCGCAGAUAUCGGGAGGAACACCGGUGGCGAAGGCGGUUCUCUGGGCCGAUACUGACGCUGAGGAGCGAAAGCAUGGGGAGCGAACAGG